rnacentral:rRNA from 1 species
GACGAACGCUGGCGGCGUGCUUAACACAUGCAAGUCGAGCGGAAAGGCCCUUCGGGGUACUCGAGCGGCGAACGGGUGAGUAACACGUGGGUAACCUGCCCUUCACUCUGGGAUAACUCCGGGAAACCGGGGCUAAUACCGGAUACGACCACUUUAGGCAUCUUCGGUGGUGGAAAGUUUUUCGGUUGGAGGAUGGACCCGCCGGCCUAUCAGCUUGUUGGUGGGGGUAAGUGGCCUACCAAGGCAGUGACGGGUAGCCGGCCUGAGAGGGCGACCGGCCACACUGGGACUGAGACACGGCCCAGACUCCACGGGAGGC